AUGGUACUCCCUCUGUCCGAAAAUACUUGUCAUCAAAAUGGAAAAUGGAUAAAAAGAGAUGUAUGUAGAAUUAAAAUACGUCUAGAUACAUCCUCUUUUAUCUAUUUUGAUGACAAGUAUGCCUGGACGGAGGGAGUUGAAC
rfam:Triticum aestivum genome assembly, contig: Triticum_aestivum_CS42_TGACv1_scaffold_289785_4AL